CAGAGACACUCAUGCACACACACAAAAAGCCAGCGAAUAAUUUUUGCUGCUAUUUUUUAAUAGUGGCCGCCAUCAUCAGCAGCAACAGAGGAGAGCAAAUCGGACAGGCCCCUCUUAAGAGAGGAUUUAUAUAUAGAGGAUCUCCUCCAAGAUUAAAGCUAGUCCUAAGAGCAACCGAAUUGCUGUGACUGACUUUCACGGGACUGUAAAGAGAGGAGUCUCUGUAGAUCUCAGCUCUCUUGACUAAGAAAUUCUGAGAAAACAGACUAAAAUCAAUGCUGAAAAAAAGCAGCUGAAGUCUUUUGCAGUGUUCAAUGCUGCUCCUUUCAAUUGUUUAUUUUUUUCCUCCCCUCCUAAACUAAUUAACCCCCUGCGUUGUCUUGCCCUGCUGUGCAUGUUUGUAAUCUGGGACAGGGACCAACUUUUGAAAAUUAUUUUAACUUGAUAGAAAGUGAAAUUUCAUAUAGUAAAUGAAGAUCUUUCAUGUUUCUCCUGUGUCUUUUUUUUUUUCCACGUGAAAAGAGUUGAAGCCCUUUUCCUCAUCACUAUCCCAGUGGAUUAAAGCACACAGAGAACGCGGUUUAUAAAGCGCUACAGUUUGGCCAUUAAAAAGGGAUCUCAAUUUAGCGCCCUUAAGUGAAUGUACUCAUCUAUUAACAAAGAUGCUGUUGGGAGCUCAGAGGAAAAUGGGAUACGUACGUGCAGAGGGUGAGAGCUUUCACAUACUUAGGUGAUUUUUUAUUUAACCCCCUCCGUCGUCCCCCCCCCAACUGGUGACAUUUCUUUAAAAAAAAAAAAAAAAAAAAAAAAAAAAAAAAAAAAAAGGUAAUUCGGAAAAAUUAAAAUGGCUAAUUUCCAUUUCUCCUGCAUCACUUCUAGAACAAGGGCUGUUUUCAGGAAAAGUGUGAGAUAAAAGUCGGGGUGGUGUCUGGGUUGGUUUUCCUUUUUUUUUCUUUUUUUUUCUUUUUUUUUUAAUACAUCGACUAAAAAGUCCAAAGAGAAAUGAGGUGUCCGGUAUGGAAGUGCAUCUCAGUCAACCGCCAGCUCCUUUUGCCGAGGCUGGAAAUGGUUUUAACAGGCGGUAAAAUUUCAUCUUGUGGUGUCAAAUUGGGGUCAGUUUGGGGUUAGCGCUCUCAGUGUCCGAGCAGGAGCUGUCCAGCUGUGUGGGGAUUCAUUAAGGGCAAAAGAUCCGUUUCAAGAAAAACAAUACAAAGACAAUCAGAGGGCUAAAGAUCCUCUUCAAAUCGCAUUUUACAAGUGCACCAGAACAAAUAUGGAUGCUGAAACCUAUUCCCUUCAAACUCCCAAAUCGGCUUCUUAGCCCUCGGAGGGAGCGAGAGAAAAUCCCCUAAAAGUUAGGAAGAGUCUGUUUUCAAUCAGCCUUUCCGAAGUGUGGCAUCUUAGUCCUUUGCUGGCUUUGAGACAUGCCUCUCUUGCUUGCUGGUUACAUCUCUCCCUCCCUCCCUCUCUCUCUCUCUCUUUUUCCACAGCCUUGCAAAAGCGGAUGGAACAACAGGUAAUAUUUCAGAUUUCAAGAAUAAAUCCCACCGGAGACCUUAAACUGCUGUUUUGCACGCGCGUGUGCUCCUAGCACAAGAUUUAAUGCAAAUAGAAAGUUUUUAGGGGGAAACAAGCCAUGCUUGCACGAAAUCCUAUUGGACCCUGUUGGAAAUUCUGAGCUCUCCUUGUAGGUGAUCCUCCAGUCCGAUGGGUAAUUUAGGCUAGAUUUACUUUCCAGUUCCUAGCAUUUGUGGAAAGCACCUAUUGCUAAUCUGGUUUAUUAAAUUCGCAUGGCUUAAAUCCUCUUAACGUCCCUACAUCUGUUAGGACAAUUGACGCCUUGCUACAGGGACAAAUAACUUGAACCUUAAUCUUGUUUGUAACUUCAUUCAAUGUUUGUUUGUUUGCGUGCUGAGUUCAAGUAUUUUGGAUGAUGCCAUUGUGUUCGGUAACACAUAGACUGCAUUUAAAAGCAAAACUCCUCUUAGACGGGUCAAGGAUAUCGUGGAACAACGCGAAAAAUUUAGCAUAUUCGAACUGGCUUUUUAUCUCGAACUAUCAUUCUAGGCAAUGUGUCGUAAUUAAUGAAGAAAGCAAUAUGCCUGUUAAAAUGUGGAUGCGGGACAUUACCGUGACACCGUAGUGAAAUUCACGUCAAUUUUACUUUUUGUUUUGCUUGCAAGGCGAAGUGUGGAGUUUAAAUAGUACCUUUUUCUUUUUAUAAUCGGGACUGUGCCACAGUUAAAUUCCUACCCCCAAACCCACUCUUUGCCACACUCUCCUUUGCCCUUACGGUUGCUUUUUACAACUUCAGUCACUUUUUAUUCGUCUCAGCACUCUUUGAUUCGCCUCCGACUUCCCGCAGCUGCAAGACUUUCGAGGUCCCAUCUCGGGUGCCCCUGUGAAAUCACGCACGUUUUAGCUUCUGCAGAUCACUGGGUUCAUUUAGCUCCUCACCCUGAUCCCCCCGCCUGCCACUAGUGUACUUCGCUUUUCAGUAAUGUAUUAUUAUUUGCCGAAAAUCUUUCUAGUCCUGAAAGUCAAUUGUAGCCCAUCACGGUGAACUUUUCUUGACCUCGACUGCGGUGUGACUGAGAUCUUUGGGAGCCGGAUUAGGAGGAGGUUCAUUUACUUACCUGUUAACUUCGCUCUUUACUCUUUCUUUCACCCCGUCCGCCCUCUUUGUUUUUAGAGGGAAAAACCCCAACCCUGCACGAAACAGGAGGGAUGCGGGGUCGUCCUGGCCUGCCGCCCCCUUUGUGGCGGUGUGUGCCCGGGGCGCGGGCUGCAUCCCGGCUCUGUCGGGCCGCCCCGGCCGCGCUGCCAUCGGCAGCGCUCUAGCGCUAUCUGGCGGGGCUCCAGCAGCGCUCCGCCGAGCCGCGCUCCGCCGGCCCGGCCCGGCCCGCCGCCCGCGGGGCUCGCUCCGCCGCCGCGGGGCCCCGGCCCAGCCGCUCCCGCGGGACGUACAUGUGGCCCAGCCCCGCGUUCCAUCCCCCAGGGGCGACACCCGCCGUGGGAAGGGGCAGAGAGAUGAACCCCUUCGCCUUUGUCCGGUUUAUCUCACGCGGGUAGGUGUGAAGCACUAAAGUCAGACAAGAGAUGCUAUUUUUUUUUUUCCUAACUUUUUAUUUUAUUUAGGCUAGAAUGUUUGUAAAAGUGGAGACCAUAACACCGACAUGUGUAUUUCCAUCACACACCAGAGGGAAAAAAAAAGAAGAAAAAAAAUAAGAAAAAAAAAGAAAAAAAGAAAACAACCACAAACCUGUCAGGGCUUCCCACUUAACAGUGCUUGCACUGGGUAGUUAAAAAUCUAGUUUGCAAUUGUUCGAAGAAGCCCGAAGCAUGAAAAAAAAAUUAAUCUUUCCAGUAUGGCAUGGUAACCAAGAGGACAGUUAGGGCAAACUAAAUGGCUUUAGUGUGGUAUCAGAGAAGCCGCAAAGGCUUCAAACUCUGCUCAGAGCUCUGCUCUAGCUCACUCAAAAUAUCCCCUUUUGUUCUCCAGCUGCCUAUAAAACUCCAGAAGAGGAGCGCUCUCAUUUUUACACUGGAGUUCUCGGUCCGGAGAGAACAAUAUACUCCUACCUCUUUUGAAAUGAUCCGGAGACUCUCACAACACGCAGGCAAUCACUCGAAGCACGAAAUUCCCCUUUUUUUUUUUUUUUUUUUUCCCCAAGAACUGCUCAGCCCAUUGUUUGAAGUGGGAUUCAGUGCACAGCCCAAAGAGAAAAGGGAAAGAAAAUCUUGAGAGCCCGGUUUGGUAUUGCACAGAGAGAGAGCUGACAAAAUAUUAUAGUGUGUUUCCUAGAAGUACAUGGUGAGAGCCGGCGGUGUGUUCCCGAAAAGAGGUUGCUUUUUAUUUCCACCACCACCCCCCCAAGAUUGUGAUUGUCUUUGUAUGUCUUUCUUUUGAUCCCACAAAGAGAAUGCAAUAUACAUAUAUGUGUUUGCUCUCCCCGCAAGAAAUGCCAUACAAUGGAAUAUGCGGCCGGUUAGUCCUCAUAAUGCUUAGUUUUGCUGUAAUUAAUUGAAAACAGUUAUUAGGUCGUCACUGGCAAUAGCGUAAAUAAUUGCAGCAGAUUUUUACUUAAAAUUGACCGGUCAUAGAGUGAUAGAUCGAUUCGAGGUAUAAAAAUGAUGUAUCAAAACAUCAAUGUCGAUUAUUUGAAAUAUUGUAGUCGAAUCUUUUUAUUGCUUCAUCGGUUAAGUGUCUGAAAGUGCUGUGUUCCAACAUAUAUUUAUGUUGUCAAUACUGUCAAAACUGUCAGUUUUAUUACAGUGGAUUUGUAAUACAUUUCGGAUUUGCUCAUUUACAUAAAAUGUCCACCUCAGAUACCCCUCCUUUUCUCCAUCUCUGGAAAUCUGUGUCAGUUUAAUGAAAGGAUUCAAGACUCAUACCUGAAGAGGAAAAAAAAAAAAAAAAAAAAAAAGGAAAGGCAAAAAAAUAGGAAAAAAAAAAAAAAAAAAGAGAAGGAGGUAUUGCUCCAUUAUGUCCAAUUUUAACAUCCAUUUGGAAAGCUCAGGCUAUUUCUGACUCGCCAAAAGAGGGAAUUCCUACCCCCUCCCUCCCCUGGCCCCGCUUAUUUUCCCAGUAGAAUUUAAACACUUUUCUACUCUCACACCUAGAUUAAACUCUCCAGGAGAAUUGAGAAAUUGUACAGGGAUGCAGUAACAAGCCAUAGCACACCUGCGAGUGCCGCAACCUUCCUAAAGAGAGCAACAACCCCCCGAACCAUGCACACACGCGCAUGGUUUUGAAUCCUGCUAGAAAGAAGGAGACAAAAGGAGCAAUAAAUAUGUGUGUGAUCCUUUCCUAACGAUUUGGAGCCCAAAGGAAAAAAGCAAACUCUAAGCAAUAUUGGGCAUUUGAUGGCCCCCGCCCCUAUUUUAUCAGGGUCUGAUCGAUGUGAUUAUUCCCUUUAACUGUAAGCAGUGGUUUUUUAUUAGCAUGAUCUCAGGCAACUCUCUAAUUUUCUCCAAGAGCCCAGCUGAAGGAUGGAGAAAUUCAGGAAUAAAUAAAGAAAUCCAUUUGCACUAUAAACUUUCUUCGAUAGAACAAACAGUGAAAUUAGGCAGAUAACUUUAUUCCCCACCCCUUUCCGAGGAUGAGGGUGUUUCAAAGGUGUUGGUGAGAUGGACCUGAGGGGUGUGUGUGUGUUGGUCUCCUUCCCCCUUCCUCCAACCCCCCAUCCCUCCCCCCCUCCCGGGAUAUCUAUGUUUAAAUAGAUGCUGAAGAGAUUUCUGAGUUCACGGGAAAGAAGGAAUGUUAGUUAAGGGAAUGGCAGCGCGCCUGGCAGGUAUUUUAAUGACUGUCCCUUCCUUUGAACACUUUCAAUUUCUCUGCUUCUUGUGCAGAAUAUGUUUCCCAAACCAAGUAUGAUUUCUUUUGUAACUCUCGUGUGUGUUUGUGAUCCCUUCUGAGGUAAAUUGAGAAGUACGCUGCGCAAAAGGAGGAAAUCGCCCCUGGGGUGCUUUGUUUACUUUGGUUUGUAAAAUCCUGCUAGGAGAUGGUUUCCUCAGUGUGUGGCAAGUGUUUCUUCAAGAAAUUCAUCAGCCCUUCUACAAUUACUUCGAGCUCCGAGGGAAGAAAGCUGCCAUCACUUUCUCACAUCCCAAGGUGUUGCACGGGGGAGAGAAGAAAAGGCUGGAGCAUUUAAUUAUAAUGGGGAGGGGUAGGGGGUGGGGAGAACGGAGGCUGCAGAAACCCGUCCCAAGCCUGUACCUGGAAAAGAAAAACCUGCAAGGGUAUAUUUGGAAAGCGUGUGCCAUUUAGGCAUGGGAAAAGUACCCCGUCUUGUGCAGUAAUUAGUCUGAACAAUAAACAUAAUUGGAACAAAAUCAGUUGGAAGUUUCUGCGUUUUUAAUUACGUUUCAUUUUGUGGUAAGCCGUAAAAUUAUGAAUGCCUCUCAAUUAAACACUAUCCACUUGUAAAGCAUUUAACAACAAUUAUUCCUUAAUCAGUUGGAAUGUUAGCCACAAAUGAUGCUGUUAAACAUCAAAGGGACGCCUUAGACGUUACCUUUUAGUCAUAAGUAAGAGGAUUAAUUUCUAUAAUUAGAGGGGAUAAAUAUGUGCAUAAAUAAAUCUAUUUUUUUACAUGUUCUCAUACUGUCUGGGAGAGGCGAGGAUCUUUGACACUGCUCGCACUCGCAGCUUGCCCCGGUCGGAGGGGAGCCGGGAGCAGCGACGUGAGAAGAGCCCUGCGGGGAGCCCCGCUCCUGCGCGCAGCUCCUCCGGCGCCGGCCCGUCCCCCGCGGCCGCACCGCGGCUGGGCUGGCCUGCGCUUCGUGCCCACCACGGACAAGGGCUUCGGGGGAAUUUACUCCCCUGCUCGGUUUUU